GGUGAUCGUGUUGAGUGCAACUGCUGCAGAGUGACAACAUGCUAACAAAAGGAUGCUGCAGGCAAUUCUGGAAUGGAAAAAUGAGGCAAGCAGAAUUUAUUCUUGACAAUGAGAUAAAGAGGCUUUACCUCAGCCUGUAAUGAGUCUGAAGGAUGAAAAACUCUUCACAAAACUUGAAUUUAUUCAAGUACGUCAACCCUGAGCAUCAGGAAAGGCACCGUAAAUGAACACACUAUUACCUCUCAGCAAGGAGCAUCCUGAAUCAGAAGUUUUCAAUGCUGAGUUUCCUUUGAAAAAGGAAUCCUGAAAAAUGUCACAGAAAUUAGACUUAGAAGAACUCCAGGCACCAUACCACAUUUUGAUGAAUUCCUGAUUAAGCAGUCCAAAGAACAGCGUGGUUAAUGACUUCUAGAAGUUUUGAGCAGGUUUAGGCUGUACAGUACCCAAUUGAAGGAGUGUGAAUACCAAACUGCAGUAACUGCUGCUGUCUUUGUAGGGUGUUCUGGUGGUUUGCAUCUCUGGCCUUUUCAUUUGGAGAAAGAAAAACUACGGGCUGUUCAGAGUACUCUGAGCAGAAGUACAAAUCAAAGCAUCAAGUACUCUUUGUUCAAACCCACUGCAAUUUCCUGCCCUAAAAAAUAAGCAGCAGUUGUGACCGCACCUUUUGUAUGAGAGAGCUCUGGUUAAAUUGUCCUCAGGAAUGUGAAGAAAUUACUGAUAUGCACUUCGGUGCUUUUUCCUUACGAGAUGCAAAGACAAAUCCUGUCUGUCUUGUGUUAGUAAAGCCAUUCCCAGACUUGUUUGCAAUUGGAGCUGAAACAGCCAGAAUUCAAUGCUAUCUGAAUGAGACUGUGCUCAUAAAGAAGCCUUUGCCUCUGCUUAUGGAAACACAAAGUUCCAUAACUUUAUCUACUCUUGUGCUUCUGAGAAUAAUGCAGCUGACAAACCAGUGCUAGAGAGUAUAAAAACACAUCUAUGCCUUCUAUCACAUGCAUCUACAACCAUGCCCAGUGUGUAUGAUUAUAUACUUGUUGGAAAUUCAGAAAGGUGAUCUGUGAUGCCAGCUCCUUGUGCCAACAGUUUCCAAUGGCAGAUUGCAAGCCCUGUCUCCAGAUGAAAUAACGAUGUUGAAAUCCCAUCCUGGCCUGUUUCUCCAGGUGGUCAGGUCAUGAAAUUGACUGUCAAAGAUCCAAUAUUAGUGCUUGUUCUCAAGGCAACACUGAAGAGGCGGCUGAAAGAGGAAUUGCUGUUAAGAGUUCAAAGCAUUUUUAAUCCAUAAACAUGAGCUGUUUGCUCGUAAAGAAUCUCUUCUGGGAAAAUCGUACCGCUAUUCCUGCAGGAGACUGCUGAGUCACGUUAACUGUGUUAUACGUGGUGCAGGCAGGGAUUGUGUGCAUGGAGAUAUUAGUCAUACAUUUUGGCUGGUGGCUUGGAAAUGUGCUACCUGCCAAGCCAGUGACACCGCUUCCUGAAUGCCCCCCUAUUCCAUCAGCGAUGCGCGAGGAGCUGUGGCCCAGAGUCUGUAUUGAUUCCUGUGGGCCUUUUCCAACAGAAACACAGCUUCCUUAUUAUGGUAAGCUUAUAUUCAGAAUAUCGCAGUGGGAUUUUAUCCUCCUUGGAAACAGCUCCUGUCUCUGUCUGUGCUCCCUGCUGAAGGUGGAAUGUGGUUACUGCUCACCAGCUGUUCUGAUGGUAGAACAGCCCUCCUGGCUGAAGGAUUCAAGGAUCUGAUCAAAACAGCCUCAGCUGAGCUGUGACACUGUGCCACGCUGUCCCUGUGCAAGUUGUAAUACUGGGCCAGUGUGAGGAGAGCUAAAGAGGUCUUGAAAAGCUUUAUACUUGCAAGGUUCCUCAUAAUUCAGUGCUAAACAUCUGCUCUGACAGUCAGAAGGAAUUCUUCUGAGCUAUGACAUGACAUCAUCUCAAAUGACUCCUCUGUCGACUCAAGCUUGAUCUGUCUGGAAGUUUCUGAUACAAGCACUAUGUUUUCGACAUCACAUUUCACAUGACAAAAAGCCUCUAUGUGAUAGAAACAGUGGAGCUGAGCAGUGUGUCUGCCACCUCAGUGGAAAUCUGAUUAUUCCUUUAACAUUAUUUUCUUUAAUAUUCAAUUCCAGAACUAGUAGCACGAUGCUGACAGUGUACUAACAGCUCCUUCAACAUUCAUAGAAUAGAUCCUGCUUUUCUGGUGAGUGCUACGUAGACUUAAUGGAUGCCUGGUUUUCUUUCUCUGCUGAUUUUUAAGAUGUUAAGUGACGUUUCCUCUGCAUUUCUGGUCUUCUCCCUCUCGUUUCUUCUGCUCUGGGUUUUCUUCCCCCCAUGUUUCUAAACACUCUGUCAUUGCUCUGCUUUUCCAGACUUCUGUGUUGAAACUGACACCUGGAUCUCAUGUUAAUUGCUGCACUUCACAUUCAUUGCAAGAGAAAAGAGAGGAAAAAUGUACAAACAGCUCUGCAGAGCAGUGAAUUGAUGUUUUCAUAGAAGUGUCUGUCACCACCCCAAGAACUCUAUCCUGAGUGGUUAAAGCUAAUUCAGAACCCAUCACUGUACACGUAAAGCUGUCCAGCUGAUCAGCAAUUCAGGCUGAGAACAAUUGUUCCUUACACCACUCGCUGCCUCUGUCAGACUUCAUGAAGAAGCCGGAGCAAGGUCAAUAAAACUUCGACAUCUUUCACCUUUAAAAGAAAAGGAUUAUUUUAGGAGACAGAAAGUGUUUGGUUCUGCUCUGCCUCCUCUUUCUGACUGGUGUUCCUGCCAUCGCUCCCACUUGACACUCUAUGGGACCACCACAUGUUCUCAGCCUCAGAGCAGGUGUUUACUGGGCCUCCUUCCCAGACAAAUAAUCCUCACAAGGAGAGAUGGAGAACUUCAUCUUUCUGGAAGGACUGAACAGAGGGAUUUGUCCAGCUCUGGUUACCUGUCUGCAGAUGUCUAAGCUCCGCUCAGCCCAGUUUUCCAAAUGGGAUGUAUCAGGCCCUGAUUUAGGCAAUUGAAGAAAUUAUACAAUAAUUCCUGUGGUUCGGUGCAUCUGUCCAAUGAAUACAUGUGUUUUUUUUCAAUAACGUCUGUUACAAAGUGGCCAAUAGCUUACCUGCUCUCCCCUGAGUAAUCAGAGCAUGGCAUGCCUGCCACAGGAAUUGUCCUCUGUGAAUGUGGGCGUUGAAAGGACAGUCUAGAAAAGAAAACAACUUAUUGAAAGAAAGCAACAUCUGUUUCCAAAAGAGGUCCAUAUCUGAGCAGAGGGAAUGUCAGGUGAGCAAAUUUUGUUAUGAAACAGACUGAAAGAUACUUGGUGUAUCACAGAAACCACAGCAUCUCAGAAGCUCUGUGUUGACAGGACUUCGCUGGUCUCUUUUCAGCCUUUUGCUCAGAGUAGGACUAUUGCUGGGGCCUGAUCAGGGCACCUGUGACUUUACCAAGUCUUGUGAUACCUGAUGAAGGUGAUAUGCCUUCUGUAGUGCCUCCCAGGGCUGCACCUGCUUCUGGAGAAGUGCUUCCAACUGAAACUUCUCUAGCUGCUCUUUGUAGCCAUUCUUCCUAUACUUGUAGGGACAUGAGCAAGGCCAGCUCCCUCAACUUUUUUUCAUGCAUGGUGAUCUUAGUGACCUGAUCAAGAAAUUCAGGCAAGCAAGUGGGCUAUAAAAGAUACCGUGUUGUAAGUAGGAAUUGUUCUCAGCCAGACCGCAUUAUAAGGCAUGACGUCUGUCAGGAAUGCACUGAUAUCAAGUUAAUAUAGGGAGAGUGACCUUUAGAUUUGAAUUUGACAUAAGCAGAUUAAGCUGGAUUUUUCAUUCUAGCCAUAUGGAUCUGAAUUUUUGUUUGUUUUCAGACAUAAUCUAUUAACUUUAUCUCAAUAUUAUGUUAACCUGACUUCUCUGAGUCAUGUCUCCCCCCAUGGCUGCUGUGAACCUGAAGCUAUGUUUCUGGAAACCUUUAACAAAUACCUGACUCUCCCCUAUGUUACCCCAAGAAAGCCAACAAUGAAUGGCAUUUGCUACUAGAGAAAUGACAUCUGUCAUUCUGAGAGCUGGAGAUGCACAGUGCCUUUCAGAUACAUGGUAAAGUACUGACAGAGCCGUUCCAGAUCAUCUGAGUCCUGAUGAAACCAGUGGUGCCAUACAGGGCAAAUGUAGAGAGUGUGAUCACAUGCUGCUUGGAGGAAUGUGCAUCCAUACCUUCUCUUUAAUCAGCUUGCCCAGUGUUGUCUCUCCCAGGAAAGCUCUCUGUGGCAAGGCCUCCAGCUUAAAUAACAAGGGCAGAAAAUGCUGGAGUGACCAGAAAAAGGCCCUUUGGAGCCAUGAUGCAAAGACUGGUUGCAGACCGGGGACUGAGAAAAAGAAAAGCAUGUGGAGGGUGAGGUCACUUUACUUUUGACUGCUGAUUUCCAGAUUGUGAUGGCCUUAGUGCUAAAGGUUAUGCUCAGAACUACAUGAUAAGCUCUUGAUGAAGGACUCUUCCCUCUGUUGUUCCUGUCCCUGGACAUUAGGAGUUCCUUCCUCUGCUUUCAGAGGUAAUCGCCGGUGGCAUUUAUAGACCGUGUUUGUACUUGGACAUGCAGACAUGCAUCUCUCUGAGAACUGAAGAUGUCAGCAGUGUUUUCACUGCUCCUCUUAGGAUUUAUUCUAAGUUAUUUUUGGAUAUCUUGUAUAACCGAUCUCUUAAGCCCUCUUAAGUUUAAUUUUAGACUUUGCAGAGUUUAUCCUGCUGUGCCACCCUUUUCCAGAUGCAUCGUCACCUAAUAACUAGGUCCUGCAGAGUCUUUGGAGAAUGCAGAAAAGGCUGUCAUUUAGUGCUGCAACAAGAACAGUGUCUAAGGUUCCUUCCCUUGAUAGCCUUCACCCACUUGUCUCAGUGAUUCCAACUGAGGAGAAAGCCAAGGAGUGGUCUCUCCUGUCCAUGACUCUCUUGCAUAGACAGAGGAGAUGCAACCUGGCUUUAACAGUGCUGCACAGUGUGCAGAGCUCUCUGGAGCUCAGCAGCAUCAGGGAGUUGCUGCAGGUUGAGGAGAAAGGACUGACUACCCAAACAUCAACAGGAGGAAACUAUGGUGCCAACUUAUUCUAGGGCUUCCCAAGGAUGAGGUAGAAAUCUGUGACGCCAUCUGUGCAAGCCCUGGCAAAUGCAUUCCAUCCUAAGCAUGCUGGCUCUGCACAGGUUCACUUGUCUCACUGGACUUCCUUAGAAGGUCAUAGCGACCUACAGGUCUAGGUAUCAGCAACUGAAAGCACUGAAAUUUGUGUUUUUCUCCAGUUAAUAUUACUUAAUUGUGCAGAUACGUGUGUAUUUGUAAUUGAGCAGGGAUCUUCAGACUUAAACAGCCAGAGAGUAGAAGACAUAUCUGGAAAUACCCAUGGUCUGAGCUGGUGCCUGGGGAGAAGUGGGCAGUUUAUCACUGGUGACCUUGACACUUGCUCAGAUGGAGAGGAAGAGGAGCUGUUGGGGUGCUGCUACAGGCAAAGCUCUCUGCAUUGGUCUGUGUGGCCAGCAGUAACUGGCACUGAGGUAACAGUCUCAAUUAUCCAUCCGGAUGAUCAUUUGUAUCUCUUUGAAAUACGGGACCUGUGUGUUUAUCUUCUACUUCUUUGAAGUUUAUUCCAUCUACAAGCAACCAGAAAAGCCCCUCAGACCGCUUCUUCAAGACUGCUGGGUUAAGUGGCUGAAGAUGGACUCAUCCAAAGAUUUGAAGAGGCUCUGGCUGUUUUCCACUGUGGAAAUAUGUGGAUACCUAGCAACCUGCUGUUACCAUUCCCUCUGCAGUCUGCAGUUCUGUGAAGAAUUUUCAGUGGGACAUUCCAUCAGAUGCUUUGUGAAAAUCCACAGAGACUGGGUCUAAUGCAUUACUCUUGUCUAGUUCUAUCUUUGAUAAAACUCUACCUUUGAUAGUAUCCAGUUGUUGCCCUGUACUGACUGCUUUCCCUAAAACCUGUCCUAAUGUUGCUGGGUCAAGUGGUCUCUAUUAUUUUUGCCCAUCUUCCUCUCUGAGUACAGAAAUGUGAAGAUUUAUGAAAGAUUCUUGCUACCAAAACUGCAUUUUCAUGUGCCAAUUAUUUCAGCACUCUCGGAUGGAAACUAUCCAUGCCCCCUGAGUUCAGUUCCUCUAUCGCUGGAAAUUAUCUCUUUAAUACAAAGCUAAACCUCCUCAAUUUCUUUUACCCACUCUUUCCUUCCUAAGCAAUUUGUAACUAGCAAUUUUUACGUUUCAGUUGUGAAUAAACCCACCAGGUUUCAGUUAUGCCAAUUAUAUUACAUUUUUCAUAAUGCAGUAAGAUUUCCCAAUUCCUCCUGCUUUUUAAUUAUUUAUUCACAGGUGCUUCUGCCCUAUCCCUCUCCCUGGACAGCUGCCUAUGAUUUAUUCAAUACUGAAGGAUGCACCUCUCUAGUUCUCUGGCUCCUUCUGCAGAUGUGCUUUUAGUGUCUAUAUUUGUGGUCCACUUUGAUGCAUCUUUGCAUAUCAGGUAAGUUCUACUCUCCCAAGCUCCAGCCCUGGAGUUGUUCAAGGCUAGGCUGGAUGGGGUCCUGGGCAGCCUGAUCUCCUGUCUUAUAGAGUUGCUGGCAACCCUAUUUGUGACAGUGGGGUUAAAAGUAGAUGAUCCCAACCCGACCCAUUUGCUGAUUUCUUCCUUGAAGAGUGCUAAUGAAUAUGUGGUGGCACUGAGAAUACAGAGACACCUUGCUUUUGAAAUAGAAUUCCAAUAAUGCAAAACGAGCUUGUAUAUACAGUUUUCUUAUUUCUCUGGCUUUUGUGAAGUGUGGUGAGCAACACAAGAAAGCUCUUUUUCUUAUUGAAAGGGGCAGUAUUCUUCAAGUGCAUCUAUACAAGUGCUGCUUUUCUCUCUUAUAUAUAGAUGCGAUUAUCGAUACUGCCUGCUCAUUAGCCUCUUAAACAAGAUCCAAGUUAUGGUUUAUUCCUAUUAAAAUCAAAUAAAUGCUUUAAUGAGCAAAAAAGGCUAAGAGUUUAUUGCUUCCCAGUUCUCUAAAACGAUAAGGUAGGCUGCCUUACCUACUUCGGAUGUUGAUUUUUUUCUUUUUAUUAUUAUUAUAUUCUUGAGUCAGAAAAUCCACCCAUCAGUUUACUGCUGGAUCUUUUCCAUCCCUGCUGCUGUUACCAUAUCACUAGUUUAGUAUCUUGUGAUACAUCCAGUAGUGGCCCAAGCACAGGCCUAGACAGCAGGUGUGAAAUAAGAUAUGCAUGCAAGGUCAUACUCAAAAAGAAAUAAAAUGAUAGGCAGCUCAGCCCUGAGUCACCUGGCUAUGGCCAAGGAAUUCACAACCUGGAACAAGGCACCAAACACUUCGUGCUGUGUCUACGUGCAGAACAGGACUUGAGAACAGCAUUGAGCUACAGAGCUCAUAAGGUAUGCUUUAGAUUCGUGUUCUUUGGGAAACUAGAUGUAUUGCUCUUAUGGAUGGUACCUUCACCUCUUUGGUAUCCAAAGCACUGA